UACAACUUUCAACAAUGGAUCUCUUGGCUCUGGCAUCGAUGAAGAACGCAGCGAAAUGCGAUAAGUAGUGUGAAUUGCAGAAUUCAGUGAAUCAUCGAAUCUUUGAACGCACAUUGCGCCCCUCGGUAUUCCGUGGGGCAUGCCUGUUCGAGCGUCAUC
rnacentral:rRNA from 1 species